rnacentral:rRNA from 1 species
UGGGGAAUAUUGGACAAUGGGCGCAAGCCUGAUCCAGCCAUGCCGCGUGAGUGAUGAAGGCUCUAGGGUUGUAAAGCUCUUUUACCGGCGAAGAUAAUGACGGUAACCGGAGAAGAAGCCCCGGCUAACUUCGUGCCAGCAGCCGCGGUAAUACGAAGGGGGAUAGCGUUGUUCGGAUUUACUGGGCGUAAAGCGCACGUAGGCGGACGUUUAAGUCAGGGGUGAAAUACCGGGGCUCAACCCCGGAACUGCCUUUGAUACUGGAAGUCUUGAGUAUGGUAGAGGUGGGUGGAAUUCCGAGUGUAGGGGUGAAAUUCGUAGAGAUUCGGAGGAACACCGGUGGCGACGGCGGAUCACUGGACCAUUACUGACGCUGAGGUGCAAAAGCGUGGGGAGCAAACAGG